CGAAUACCACUACCUUUGAUUGAUGGCAGAGUUGUAUCUUUUGUAGUUUGCUACGGCGAUAUCUUUUUCUAUUCUACUUUCAUGGGAGAGAAGCAACAAAGUAAUUUCUUGAUAGUGAGGAAGAUCUACAAGAAUCUCCUCUAACAGAAUCCAAGAGCUAUGAAAUUAUCAGCCUGUCUUGUCUUUUCCUUUAUGUUAGCCUUUGUGUAGUCAUCUAAUGUUCUGUGCUAGUAAUGUACUGUUGUGGUAUUUUAGAAGUUUCAUUAAUGUAACUCUCUAAACCAUUGCCUUGUAAUGCUGCAAGUACCUCAAAUUUCCAUAGUAGGAAAUUGUAGUCAGUUAAUUUUA